rnacentral:rRNA from 1 species
CCUACGGGUGGCAGCAGUGGGGAAUAUUGCACAAUGGGGGAAACCCUGAUGCAGCGACGCCGCGUGAGUGAAGAAGUAUUUCGGUAUGUAAAGCUCUAUCAGCAGGGAAGAGAAUGACGGUACCUGAGUAAGAAGCCCCGGCUAACUACGUGCCAGCAGCCGCGGUAAUACUUAGGGUGCAAGCGUUAUUCGGAUUUACUGGGUGGAAAGGGAGCGUAGACGGCGAAGAAAGUAUGAAGUGAAAGCCCGCGGCUCAACCGCGGAACGGCAUUGGAAACUUUUUUGCUGGAGUACCGGAGAGGUAAGCGGAAUUCCUAGUGUAGCAGUGAAAUGCGUAGAUAUUAGGAGGAACACCAGUGGCGAAGGCGGCUUACUGGACGGUAACUGACGUUGAGGCUCGAAAGCGUGGGGAGCAAACAGGAUUAGAUACCCCGGUAGUC